rnacentral:rRNA from 1 species
GUGUCAGCCGCCGCGGUAAUACGAGAGGCCCAAACGUUAUUCGGAUUUACUGGGCUUAAAGAGUUCGUAGGCGGCGCAGAAAGUAGGGUGUGAAAGCCCUCGGCCUAACCGAGGAAUUGCGCUCUAAACUACUGUGCUUGAGGAAUCUAGAGGUGAGCGGAACUGAUGGUGGAGCGGUGAAAUGCGUUGAUAUCAUCAGGAACACCGGAGGCGAAGGCGGCUCACUGGGGAUUUUCUGACGCUGAGGAACGAAAGCCAGGGGAGCAAACGGGAUUAGAUACCCCUGUAGUCC